GCAAGUCGAGCGGAAACGAGAAGUAGCUUGCUGCUUUGGCGUCGAGCGGCGGACGGGUGAGUAAUGCCUAGGAAAUUGCCCUGCUGUGGGGGAUAACCAUUGGAAACGAUGGCUAAUACCGCAUAAUGCCUUCGGGCCAAAGAGGGGGACCUUCGGGCCUCUCGCGUCAGGAUAUGCCUAGGUGGGAUUAGCUAGUUGGUGAGGUAAUGGCUCACCAAGGCGACGAUCCCUAGCUGGUCUGAGAGGAUGAUC
rnacentral:rRNA from 1 species